UCCCUGGUUGUACAGUGGCUAAGAUGCUGUGCUCUCAAUGCAGGGGUCCCAGGUUCAAUCCCUGGUCAGGGAA
rfam:Ovis aries breed Texel chromosome 4, whole genome shotgun sequence.